GACAGAGGGUGCAAACGUUGUUCGGAAUUACUGGGCGUAAAGCGCGUGUAGGCGGCUAUGCAAGUCGGAUGUGAAAGCCCUCGGCUCAACCGGGGAAGUGCACCCGAAACUGCAAAGCUAGAGUCUCGGAGAGGAUCGUGGAAUUCUCGGUGUAGAGGUGAAAUUCGUAGAUAUCAGGAGGAAUACCGAUGGCGAAGGCAGGUCUCUGGGCUAUAACUGACGCUCAUGCACGAAAGCGUGGGGAGCAAACAGG
rnacentral:rRNA from 1 species